CGCUUGUUAGCUCAGUGGGUAGAGCAGUUAGUGAAAACUAAUGGGUCGCGGGUUCAAUUCCUGCACAAGCUC
rnacentral:tRNA from 1 species